rnacentral:lncRNA from 1 species
GCUUUCUGAGCAGGAGGCUGUGGACUGAGGGGAGCCAUCCACUCUGCCGAGAGCUUGAGAAAAUGAAGACUGAAAACAGAGCACUGGAGGUCGUUCAUACGCAAAAAUGCUUUCCCCUCGGAAUUGUCUCCAGCUCCUUCACCUCUUGGUUGUAGGUACAGACAGCAGAGACAAGAAGAGCCUUGAAGAGGCAGCCACACAUUGUGAUGAACAUCAAAUGGAUCCACGGCUCUGCGGAGGACCCAAGACAACUUGCUUGAAUUGUUAAGACCUUAUAUGAGGUCUCACUA